rnacentral:rRNA from 1 species
AGAGUUUGAUCCUGGCUCAGAUUGAACGCUGGCGGCAUGCCUUACACAUGCAAGUCGAACGGUAACGCGGGGCAACCUGGCGACGAGUGGCGAACGGGUGAGUAAUACAUCGGAACGUGCCCAGUAGUGGGGGAUAGCCCGGCGAAAGCCGGAUUAAUACCGCAUACGACCUACGGGUGAAAGCGGGGGAUCGCAAGACCUCGCGCUAUUGGAGCGGCCGAUGUCAGAUUAGGUAGUUGGUAGGGUAAAGGCCUACCAAGCCGACGAUCUGUAGCUGGUCUGAGAGGACGACCAGCCACACUGGGACUGAGACACGGCCCAGACUCCUACGGGAGGCAGCAGUGGGGAAUUUUGGACAAUGGGCGCAAGCCUGAUCCAGCAAUGCCGCGUGCGGGAAGAAGGCCUUCGGGUUGUAAACCGCUUUUGUCAGGGAAGAAACGCUCUGGGCUAAUACCCCGGGGUAAUGACGGUACCUGAAGAAUAAGCACCGGCUAACUACGUGCCAGCAGCCGCGGUAAUACGUAGGGUGCAAGCGUUAAUCGGAAUUACUGGGCGUAAAGCGUGCGCAGGCGGUCUUGCAAGACAGAUGUGAAAUCCCCGGGCUUAACCUGGGAACUGCAUUUGUGACUGCAAGGCUGGAGUACGGUAGAGGGGGAUGGAAUUCCGCGUGUAGCAGUGAAAUGCGUAGAUAUGCGGAGGAACACCGAUGGCGAAGGCAAUCCCCUGGACCUGUACUGACGCUCAUGCACGAAAGCGUGGGGAGCAAACAGGAUUAGAUACCCCGGUAGUCC